rnacentral:rRNA from 1 species
AGGGUUUGAUCAUGGCUCAGGAUGAACGCUGGCGGCGUGCUUAACACAUGCAAGUCGAACGAAGCGCUUAAAUUUGAUUCUUCGGAUGAAGAUUUUUGUGACUGAGUGGCGGACGGGUGAGUAACGCGCGGGUAACCUGCCUCAUACAGGGGGAUAACAGUUAGAAAUGACUGCUAAUACCGCAUAAGCGCACAGGGCUGCAUGGCCUGGUGUGAAAAACUCCGGUGGUAUGAGAUGGACCCGCGUCUGAUUAGCUAGUUGGUGAGGUAACGGCCCACCAAGGCGACGAUCAGUAGCCGACCUGAGAGGGUGAUCGGCCACAUUGGGACUGAGACACGGCCCAA